rnacentral:hammerhead_ribozyme from 1 species
AUCCGGCUGACGAGUCCCAAAUAGGACGGAACGCGCGUUCUUCUUUAU